CGAUAGUGAAACAGUACCGUGAGGGAAAGGUGAAAAGAACCCCGGGAGGGGAGUGAAAAGAACAUGAAACCAUAAACUUACAAGCAGUAGGAGGACGACUAAAACGUCUGACUGCGUGCCUGUUGAAGAAUGAGCCGGCGACUUAUAGUUAGUGGCAGGUUAAAGUAGUGAAUACUGAAGCCACAGUGAAAGCGAGCCUGAAUAGGGCGUUUGUCACUAGUUAUAGACCCGAACCCGGAUGAUCUAACCAUGGUCAGGUUGAAGCUCAGGUAAUACUGAGUGGAGGACCGAACCGACUGAUGUUGAAAAAUCAGCGGAUGAGUUGUGGUUAGGGGUGAAAUGCCAAUCGAAUUCGGAGCUAGCUGGUUCUCCCCGAAAUGCGUUUUGGCGCAGCGGUGAAUGUUAUAAUUUAGGGGUAAAGCACUGUUACGUAUGCGGGCUGGUAAUUCGGUACCAAAUCGUUGCAAACUAAGAAUACUAAAUGUACAGUUCACCAGUAAGACUGUGGGGGAUAAGCUCCAUUGUCAAGAGGGAAACAGCCCAGAGCACCAGUUAAGGCCCUUAAAUAAUUACUAAGUGGUAAAGGAGGUGGGAGUGCAUAGACAAUCAGGAGGUUUGCUUAGAAGCAGCAAUCCUUUAAAGAGUGCGUAAUAGCUCACUGAUCGAGUAAACCUGCGCCGAAAAUGUAUGGGACUAAGUAAUUUGCCGAAACUGUGCGAUAUAUAUUUAUAUAUCGGUAGGGGAGCGUUCUGUUGUAGGUUGAAGCAUUAACGUAAGUGGGUGUGGACGAAGCAGAAGUGAGAAUGUCGGCUUGAGUAGCGAAAACAUUGGUGAGAAUCCAAUGCCCCGAAAACCUAAGGUUUCCCCCGGAAGGCUCGUCCGCGGGGGGUGAGUCAGGACCUAAGGCGAGGUCGAAAGACGUAGUCGAUGGACAAUAGGUUAAUAUUCCUAUACCGUUUUUUAUUGGCAACGAGGGACGAAGAAGGCUAAACUUAUCCAGAUAGUGGUCACUGGUCCAAGCAUUCAAGGUUAUGAGAAAUAGUGAAAAUAUUUUGAGCUGAGAUGUGAUGGGGAGAUACUUAGUAUUGAAGUAGUUGAUGUCAUGCUUCCAAGAAAAGCUUGCACUGUCAUAAAUAGAAAACGCCUGUACCCUAAACCGACACAGGUAGGUAGGUAGAGUAUACUAAGGGGCGCGAGAUAACUCUCUCUAAGGAACUCGGCAAAAUAACCCCGUAACUUUGGGAGAAGGGGUACCCUAUGGGUUGCAAUAACAAGGUCCAAGCGACUGUUUAUCAAAAACACAGGUCUCCGCGAAGUCGAAAGACAAUGUAUGGGGGCUGACGCCUGCCCAGUGCCGGAAGGUUAAAGAAGCUGGUUAGCAGUAGCGAAGCUAGUGACUGAAGCCCCGGUGAACGGCGGCCGUAACGAUAACGGUCCUAAG
rnacentral:rRNA from 1 species